GGUCUGAUGCCAUGUCGCCAAGAGCUAUUAUAGCGGUGAUCGGUGAUGCUAUGAUUGGACCAAGAGUGAGUCAUUGUUUUGCAUCUUGAUAGGAACCUGUGGAUCUUAUAAAACAUUGGUCCACGGAGCCGUUUUGUGUGAUUAUAUUU